GCAAGCAGCAGCUCUUGCACCAGCAGUAGGUGCAAGCGCCCAGUGGGACCACGGCACGUGGGAGCAAAGAAUUUUCAGUAACCACUAGAGG